UUUAAUAAGAAACAUUCUCUUUGGAGCAGUGAGAGGGUUGAACUAUCUGCACCAAAAUGGCUGUAUUCACAGGAGUAUUAAAGCCAGCCAUAUCCUCAUUUCUGGUGAUGGCCUAGUGACCCUCUCUGGCCUGUCCCAUCUGCAUAGUUUGGUUAAGCAUGGACAGAGGCAUAGGGCUGUGUAUGAUUUCCCACAGUUCAGCACAUCAGUGCAGCCGUGGCUGAGUCCAGAACUACUGAGACAGGAUUUACAUGGAUAUAAUGUGAAGUCAGAUAUUUACAGUGUUGGGAUUACAGCAUGUGAAUUAGCCAGUGGGCAGGUGCCUUUCCAGGACAUGCAUAGAACUCAGGUAAGUGCUGCUAAAAUCCCUGAGCUACUUGCCUUUCAUAAGAUUGCUUACAUUCUAGAUAAUUUCUGUUAAACAUGUUUGCUAUAGACUCUUAGGAACUUUAUUGUUGUUACUGUUUUAAUAUUUUGCCUGAAAAGUGUUGAAGGAAAGUUCUGUUUCUUUUAGAUGCUGUUACAGAAACUGAAAGGUCCUCCUUAUAGCCCAUUGGAUAUCAGUAUUUUCCCUCAAUCAGAAUCCAGAAUGAAAAAUUCCCGGUCAGGUGUAGACUCUGGGAUUGGUGAAAGUGUGCUUGUCUCCAGUGGAACUCACACAGUAAAUAGUGACCGAUUACACACACCAUCCUCAAAAACCUUCUCUCCUGCCUUCUUUAGCUUGG
rnacentral:sRNA from 1 species